UGGCGGGUGCUUACCAUGCAGUCGAACGAUGAUCUCCAGCUUGCUGGGGGGAUUAGUGGCGAACGGGUGAGUAACACGUGAGUAACCUGCCCUUGACUCUGGGAUAAGCCUGGGAAACUGGGUCUAAUACCGGAUAUGACCAUUCCACGCAUGUGGUGGUGGUGGAAAGCUUUUGCGGUUUUGGAUGGACUCGCGGCCUAUCAGCUUGUUGGUGGGGUAAUGGCCUACCAAGGCGACGACGGGUAGCCGGCCUGAGAGGGUGACCGGCCACACUGGGACUGAGACACGGCCCAGACUCCUACGGGAGGCAGCAGUGGGGAAUAUUGCACAAUGGGCGGAAGCCUGAUGCAGCGACGCCGCGUGAGGGAUGACGGCCUUCGGGUUGUAAACCUCUUUCAGUAGGGAAGAAGCGUAAGUGACGGUACCUGCAGAAGAAGCGCCGGCUAACUACGUGCCAGCAGCCGCGGUAAUACGUAGGGCGCAAGCGUUAUCCGGAAUUAUUGGGCGUAAAGAGCUCGUAGGCGGUUUGUCGCGUCUGCUGUGAAAGACCGGGGCUCAACUCCGGUUCUGCAGUGGGUACGGGCAGACUAGAGUGCAGUAGGGGAGACUGGAAUUCCUGGUGUAGCGGUGAAAUGCGCAGAUAUCAGGAGGAACACCGAUGGCGAAGGCAGGUCUCUGGGCUGUAACUGACGCUGAGGAGCGAAAGCAUGGGGAGCGAACAGGAUUAGAUACCCUGGUAGUCCAUGCCGUAAACGUUGGGCACUAGGUGUGGGGGACAUUCCACGUUUUCCGCGCCGUAGCUAACGCAUUAAGUGCCCCGCCUGGGGAGUACGGCCGCAAGGCUAAAACUCAAAGGAAUUGACGGGGGCCCGCACAAGCGGCGGAGCAUGCGGAUUAAUUCGAUGCAACGCGAAGAACCUUACCAAGGCUUGACAUGGACUGGAAAGAUCUGGAGACAGGUCCCCCGCUUGCGGUCGGUUCACAGGUGGUGCAUGGUUGUCGUCAGCUCGUGUCGUGAGAUGUUGGGGUUAAGUCCCGCAACGAGCGCAACCCUUCGUUCUAUGUUGGCCAGCGCGUUAUGGCCGGGGACUCAUAAGGAGACUGGCCGGGGUCAACUCCGGAAGGAAGGUGGGGGACAAAGUUCAAAUCAU
rnacentral:rRNA from 1 species